rnacentral:rRNA from 1 species
GAUGAACGCUGGCGGCGUGCCUAAUACAUGCAAGUCGAGCGAACGGACGAGAAGCUUGCUUCUCUGAUGUUAGCGGCGGACGGGUGAGUAACACGUGGAUAACCUACCUAUAAGACUGGGAUAACUUCGGGAAACCGGAGCUAAUACCGGAUAAUAUUCUGAACCGCAUGGUUCAAAAGUGAAAAACGGUCUUGCUGUCACUUAUAGAUGGAUCCGCGCUGCAUUAGCUAGUUGGUAAGGUAACGGCUUACCAAGGCAACGAUGCAUAGCCGACCUGAGAGGGUGAUCGGCCACACUGGAACUGAGACACGGUCCAGACUCCUACGGGAGGCAGCAGUAGGGAAUCUUCCGCAAUGGGCGAAAGCCUGACGGAGCAACGCCGCGUGAGUGAUGAAGGUCUUCGGAUCGUAAAACUCUGUUAUUAGGGAAGAACAUAUGUGUAAGUAACUGUGCACAUCUUGACGGUACCUAAUCAGAAAGCCACGGCUAACUACGUG